rnacentral:rRNA from 1 species
GCAGUAGCCGCGGGAAUACGGAGGAUCCAAGCGUUAUCCGGAAUCAUUGGGUUUAAAGGGUCCGUAGGCGGUCUUGUAAGUCAGUGGUGAAAGCCCAUCGCUCAACGGUGGAACGGCCAUUGAUACUGCAGGACUUGAAUUAUUGGGAAGUAACUAGAAUAUGUAGUGUAGCGGUGAAAUGCUUAGAGAUUACAUGGAAUACCAAUUGCGAAGGCAGGUUACUACCAAUUGAUUGACGCUGAUGGACGAAAGCGUGGGUAGCGAACAGGAUUAGAUACCCGUGUAGUCCCUGUCUCUUAUAA